rnacentral:rRNA from 1 species
UACAGAGGUCUCAAGCGUUGUUCGGAAUCACUGGGCGUAAAGGGUGCGUAGGCCGCACGGCAAGUCAGAGGUGAAAUCCCGGAGCUCAACUCCGGAAUUGCCUCCGAUACUCCCGUGCUUGAGGACUGGAGAGGAGUCUGGAAUUCACAGUGGAGCAGUGAAAUGCGUAGAUAUUGUGAGGAACACUAGUGGCGAAGGCGAGACUCUGGACAGUUCCUGACGCUGAGGCACGAAGGCCAGGGGAGCAAACGGG